rnacentral:lncRNA from 1 species
CUUUCGGAGCUGUGCGGCAUUCUGAGCAGGAAUGGCAGUGUGGACCUCUGUGAUGGGACAUCUUGUGGGAUCUCACAGCCAGUUCUGUGGCAAAGGAGGAUGAAGGCUUACGAGGUGGAGUUUGAGGCUGGAUAGACAGUUUGAAAGGGCUCCUGUGACAAGUGGACAUGCAGUGACUGCACCUUUGUUUCUGAGGUGCCUGGAUGGAGGCUCAAAUAGAAGAUGGUGUCAGAUAUAUUGUGUUAAAAUUUUACCAUUAAAGUGUAUUAUAACAUGAA